UGGGGAAUAUUGCACAAUGGGCGCAACCCUGAUGCAGCAACGCCGCGUGAACGAUGAAGGUCUUCGGAUCGUAAAGUUCUGUUGCAGGGGAAGAUAAUGACGGUACCCUGUGAGGAAGCCCCGGCUAACUACGUGCCAGCAGCCGCGGUAAUACGUAGGGGGCUAGCGUUAUCCGGAUUUACUGGGCGUAAAGGGUGCGUAGGUGGUCUUUCAAGUCGGUGGUUAAAGGCUACGGCUCAACCGUAGUUAGCCUCCGAAACUGGAAGACUUGAGUGCAGGAGAGGAAAGUGGAAUUCCCAGUGUAGCGGUGAAAUGCGUAGAUAUUGGGAGGAACACCAGUAGCGAAGGCGGCUUUCUGGACUGCAACUGACACUGAGGCACGAAAGCGUGGGUAGCAAACAGG
rnacentral:rRNA from 1 species